CGCAGAGUGACAGCUACUGAAUCAUAAAUGUGUCAUUUGUGAUGUCGUAAGGGAAAAUAAUGAUACUACCUUACUAUUAGUGUCGUCUAAAACUGGUGCCAGAAGACUCGGUAAGGCCAGAGACACAAACGUUAAUCAUAUUAAACAGGCGUAAAGGGUUUGUAGGCUGCUUCAUACCGCUUCACUCCACUCCAAUUUUUUUGGCUAGUGGCUAGUGAUUAGCGGAUAAACAAUUGAAGCUAGAAUCUAAUAGAGGUUAAUGCAAAUCAUACAAAGAGUAGGGCUUAUAUCCGUAGAUCCUUAGUGGAGAUACUCAUGGCGUAGGCUUUUUAACCAUUAAAGAUUGACGCUGAGAAACGAAGGGGAGGACAGGAAAUAGGAUUAGAUACCCCACUACCCCUCUCUGUAAACGAUGAAUGGUAACCAUUUGUUUAAAUAAAUAAGUGGUGAUGUUAACACGUUAACCAUUCCGCCUUGUGAGUACGACUGCAAAGUUAAAAACAAAAAAAUUAGUCGUCUCGAAGCAAAG
rnacentral:rRNA from 1 species